AAGUACGCAGCUGAGGUCUCUGCCCAGGGAUGAAAUCCAGUAUGGAUACGUCAUCAUCCUUCAACCCUACGCCCCGGCUGGUUGCAUUUGCUGGGGUCAUUGGCAGGCAUUGUAUUACCCUGUUCCCGUCCUGGCCUGUGUGAUCUCUUCGGAGAUUUGAAGACUGCAAGACGGAGUCGGGUACCGUUCCCAGGUAAGAAACUGCCUUUGUUGUUCAGGAAAACAAUCGUGCUAUGCACCGUGUAGUGCUGCACUUUAGUAUCCUCUCUCUUGCCGAGCAAUCCAGGAAAUCCCCCAUUACAACUUACUGUUCUCAGCCAGGGUGAAGUUUUGAGGAGGCUGGAGGUUCUGGUUGAAAUUCACAGGAAACGCAACACCCUCGUCUCCGUAUUGCAACAUGCUGUACAGUUGGGCGUUACGGAGCAGAGGUGCAGUUGGUCCCCACUGAAUAAAAUCCAUUUGUAAAUGGAUCCUUAAUGAGACACUUUGCCUUAGUCAUUUAGUGCAUUUAAAACUGACAACAAAACUGUUCAGUGACGCGCCAUCGCAUGAGUUACCUUGUAACCUAAGUCCUGCCGCCUGACAGCUUUUAACGUAGGGCCUGAUCCUGCAUCGCUGAAGUGAAUGGGAAUCAGACUGGGACCUUAAGGCAAACGUUUUCAAAGUACCUGAGGUGAUGUCUACACUAGCAAUGCUUCACCGUAUACUAUCCCGGCAAAGUGCUGCUCUCGGUGCUGGUAUAAUAAAACCACCCUGCAGGAGCGAAACAAGCUUCACUGGCAGCUUUGCCAGUACGGCUGCCUCUACGCUAGAGGCUUCAGCGGGCACAGCUGUGUGGGCCAGAGCUCACACCGCUUCACACCUGACCGACACAACGAUGCUGGCAGAAGUCUGUAGUGUACACCUGGCCUGAGCGAUUUAGGAGCCAAAACCCCAUUUUCAGAAAUGACCGUGACACUUAAGUAAUCCAAGUCCCACUGAUUUUUCCAUGAGACUGAUGCUCUGACGUGCCAGUGGCACUGCUGAAAAUGGGACUUAGGCCCUUCAGCUCUAUUCCCCCCUUUUACACACACCCAUCCUCUCAUGCACACACACACGGGUGUGUAUAUGGCUAUAGUUGAGUAUACAAGACACACAUUUGUAUAUGCCCAUAUUGUGUGCACUCUCAAACUUUGGCACCGGUUAACAACUUGAUGCAGGUGGGUCGUUGCUCCUAAAGCCGAAGGCCAGAUUUUGCCCUUCGGAAGCUCCCAUAGUGUGUGUGUGACUUUUCUGCAGAUAUCUGUGCAACAUAAGAGUCGUGCGAGCUACUUGCUCUGCUGCUGUCUUGCAUGUCGCCACGGCUGUCAGUGGGGGUGGUUCCUAUCUGCAUGUUUUGAUACCUAGGCCAAACUGGAUCUUUUUUCCCUCCGUGCAUGCUUAGCAUUUAUAUAUUUAUUUUCUUUCACCUCUUUGCUAAGACACCAUGCCACCUUCAGCCAUAGAAGUGGCUGUUUUCCCACUGGCAUUGAUGAGCAUGGGCCAUGUUAACUGUGAACAGUGUUGUCUGACAGAUCAUCUGCACUGGAGUGGAAUGCCAGGAUCCCAGCAUCAUCUUCUCUGGAAGAGCAUCACUCAGUGGAGGGGAACGUCGAAAACAUAGAAGUGUGGGAAAGAGGCAUCUCCCCUGGAAACCUUGUCCCUCCAUUCAAGACCUCUGAAUUAUGUGAUGGGCACAUUGGGAUUUAACCAGCCUGUGGCUUUUGUGAUCAGCUGAUACAAACUAACAGCUGCUCUUCCACAUCUGACUGGCAGAGUUUCUCUGGGAUGAAAUACAAUAGCACUUGGAAGAAGACGUCAAGUAACACAGACAAUGGUUGGAAUGAGCGAGAAGUGCUGAGGAGAGAUGUCCAGAUCCUGAAGUGAUCUUGCAACCAAGUUAGUCAAACAAGAAAAACAGCUUUCCUCUUUUCUGGCCUCUUCUGAUGAAACAAGCCCCUAAGUCACGUCCCUUUGUGGGGACAAAGGUUGGUCCUAGCUCUGUGAAUAGGCGGGUGUGGCCUCUCUCAUGUCUCCCCUCCAGAGCAGCCAGUCUCCAGACUGCUAUUUCGAAGUGGUUUGGAGAGGGAUGGGGGCUCUUUCGUUCUCUUGCCCUACGAGGACACUUAAGUCUGUGAAAUUUGUGUUUGUAUGGUUCUUGUCUUUCACUAAAUGUUCUGAAAAGAGCAAUUCCAACAGGUUCUGAGGGCGGUAACGCAGAGGGGAUUUGUUGAAGAUGUAGCGAGGAGGGGCAUAGAGUUGGGAAGGGGAAAAUGCUCCCCUUGUCCUCUCUGCUGCUUGCUUUCUUCACCCUUUAUUUCAAUAAAAAGUGAGGUGGCUCAUGAAGGCGAGGCUUGAGCCCGUCAUAGCACAGGCAGGAGCUGGUUGAGUUUCCCACCACACAAUACACUUUUAACUAUGAGUCAUGCUGCCCUUUCCCGGUGAAGGGCCUCCUAGCUGUGGGCUCCCACUUGUGCUGGUAGUUCUGUAACGCACACAACUGGGGUAUAGCUUGGGCCUCAUCCUAUCUUGCGUGUGUGAGAGAGGAUUGGAAGUGAAAGGUGAUAGUCACGCUUUUGGAAAACUUUUCCUAUUCCUGGGUCUAGUGCCCAGGAAACGCCCCUCUGCAAACCCUUAAAACACCCUGUGUUAAUCACAGAAGUGCAGGACUGGAAGGGACCUCAGUAGGUCAUGUAGCCCAGUCCCCUGCACUGAAGACAGGACUAAGUAAUAAACAGACCCAUCCUUGACAGGCAUUUGUCUAAACUGUUCUUAAAAACUGCCAGUGUGACAGCCACCUGGAAUCUGCUCAGUGCUGUGGGGUUGAGGAGCUUGAGCACGAUUCAGGGAGCCAGCAAUGGUGCAAGCCAUAUUUUCUGAGCCUCAGUUUCCCUAUUUGCAAUAUACAGAUAUUUACCUCCAUCACAAGAGUGAGGAUAUAUUAUCCACUGUCUCCAAUGCUAUGUAAGUGUGGCUGUUAUUGACCAUUGGAGACAGGCAUUGAUCCAAACACCCCUGUCCUCUGGGAAAGUUUGAAUCUAGAGCAGCAAUUUGUGGUGCCAGGAGUUAUUACAGUCGGUGAUACUGAGGAUGACCUGCUGAAAUGUGAUCCUCGUAAAUGUGAAAUAUCCUAUCGUCCCCAUCCUGGAAUACCAAUCAGCCUGGCUUUGCUGUACCUCUCCCAGAGCAAACUGGAAUGUGUGCUAAGGAUGUCCUGCUACUCUCAGGAAGCCUUCCAGGAUCAAGAAUCUCUGCUGGUCUCCAUGGGAAAGUCCAAGAUUCGGAGGCAGGGGGGUGGAAAAUCAUUCUGAGUUGGAACGAAAAGCGAGAAUUUCUUCAUUUCCCAUGCAAGGAAUAUUCUGAAUCUUUUUGUUUCGAUAACAUCAAAAUAUUACAAUAUGAAAUACUAAAUAUAAUAUAUAUUAUGUAGAAUAUUAAAUAGAAGGGAUAGAAAUUUAAUACACCUCUACCCUGACAUAACCCGAUAUAACACAAAUUCUGAUAUAACACGGUAAAGCAGUGCUCUGGGGGGGUGGGAGUGCGCACUCCGGCAGAUCAAACCAAGUUCGAUAUAACACGGUUUCACCUACAACGCGGUACGAUUUUUUUGCUCCCGAGGACAGCGUUAUAUCAAGGUAGAGGUGUAUUAAACUCAGUAUUUUAAUAUGGUAUAAAAGUAGAAAUGAAACGAAUCUAAACAAAAUGUUUUUAGUUGCUUCAAAAAUUUCCCAUCAAGAAUGUUAUUGAAAUCAGCACAGUCCCCUGAUUUCAGCAAAACUGCAUUUUCCAACAGCAAACUGUUCCAUCAUUCUAGUGAGUAUCUGCAUGGCUUUUUUAAACAAGUCUCUGCACUCACUAGCGGAAGCAGAGCUGGGGCUGGGCAGUGGCAUGGGGAAUGUCAGAGGGCUGUUUAAGGUGCUGUGAUCUAAGAUACUGGCACACGUGUUGGACUUAGUGCAAUGGGUUGAAAUCCUGGCAGCAUCCCUCCACCCUUCAUAAACGGAGAUCCAGGUGUUUUGCUGUAAGGGGAGUAUUAGAUGAACCCUUAAAAACCAAGGUUUUGUCUGCACCCAUUUCACAUUGACUUUGUUGCCCGUGGGGAUUCUAUAGCAUGUCUCCUAAGAAAAGGAGGUUGUCAACGUGUCUUUGGCCAAAAUGUCCAAUCUCCCAUUGCUGUUGUGCUGUCUGACUAACUUCACAGUCUGCCACUUAUUGCUCUAGCAAUGUCCCCCGAGCCUUGACUGUUCAGGCGAGCGGUUGUCCUCGGAGCCCAGCUCCAUUAGUAACGUGCCUUUGGAUUUUACAGAGUGAGCUUGAAGGCUCCAAAUAUAGAUGUUCCGGUUCACUGGCAGCUCUCCCUGCCUGUCUCACAAAGCUAUAAACUAGUAUAUCACAUCCUCCCCCCACCUGUAGUUGGGCUGCCAUGGGAGCAGGAUGAUCCUUCACACAUCAGCCUCCAAACAGGAUUCACCUUUCCUCACCUGCAUUUCAAUAUUCACAGCAUGAUGCUGUUAAUUAGAAAACAAGGUAUUGCAAAAAGAGGACCCAAGCUACCUUCCACUCAGGUAACCUUCUGUCACUUAGAUUUAUUCCCCCAGCAGGCUGAAUAGAAAGCGUCAGUGUUUCCCCAGCGCAGCUGUCACUGCUGUUUCACGCUCCCAUCAGUACAAGACACCAGCACGAUGAGCAAGUGACCUAGGAAAUGCAGAUCCCGGUCCAGCCAGUCAGGCAGUCAUCAGCUUCCACUAGUAAUUCCCUUUCUGGUACGUAGGAAGCUGGUCUAGGUAGACAGUAAGAGGCUGGAAGGGCACUACAAGCUUAGAUAGCUACCUUGGCUGUGUGCUUUGUGUGCUCGCAUCUGAAUGUUAGCUUGGCGCUUGGAUGCUCCCUCUCUGUCAGUGCUGCCAUCUUAUAAGCUGAUCUGUUUUACUGCUUGCUUGUUUUCAGUAAAGGCAGGGGAAUAAGGAAGAGAAGUCUGUUCUUUGCCUGUUAGGGUUACAACCAGCUAGUGGGCGAGAGAGAAAUUUUAAAAUCCAGGUUAAAAAGAGACCCAUAAUGAAAAGAUCUUGUUAAGGCUUAAGAGAAGUUCUGGGCCACUUGCGCUCAUUAAAGAUCCAAAAAGGAAAGCUUGCUCAUCCUGCCUAAAUGUUAACAUUGCCUUCCUAAAUUCCCCUGUAGUUGCAAUAACAUUUAUUAUUCUGCAUGCUUCCUGUCCUGACCUGUUGUGUACAGUUGCUGCACCCUGGUAAGAGUUGCCUGUUUGAACCCAAAGCAGGCUGCAUUUCAGCAGUGAAGGAAAUGACCCUCCCAUAGAGUUUGCAAAGUGCAGUGACACUCUUCAGCCUGAAUACAGCUAUCUAUGAAUGUACAGGGAACAAAAGCAACCCCUGCCACCCGUUACUAUGGAGGGGUAUCUGGGAUCCUUAUAUUUAGAAAAGGAAAUAACUGAGGUAUUUCAGAUCGUGCGGUGGGGUGAUCACUGGAUUGUUGAUGGGAGAAGCUGUAAGGAUUUGUCUACGUUUGAAUUUUCAGUAGUGCUUAAUUAACACAAGUGUGAAUUCUAGUGUAGCUGGACCACCAAAGUUAGUGCCAGGAUGAAAACAUUUGUUGCUUGUUGUGUUUAACCACAGACUGCAGCUUAAUGCUAGGUACAGUUUAGGACAGUAAGUGGAUAGCAAAUCCUAUUGAAAAUACUGGGGAUUUUAGGAGUGUAGCUUGUUUGAAUUAGGGUAACUAACAGCCCAGUGUUUGCUAUGACUAGCAAUAAACAUGUGUCUCUACACUUGAAUUUUCAGUCACGUUUUAACACAUUAAUACAAGUGUGGACACAAUGGGUAAAAUUUUCAAAAGCACCUAAGUGCCCUAGAAGCCUAAAACCCAUUGACUUUCAAUGGAGCUUAGUCUCUUUUGAAAAUUUGAACCAUCCUAUAUUAUUGUUUUAUAAAUGUUUAUUAUUUAUUUGUAUUACCAUCGCGUUUAGGAGUCCCAGUCAUGGACCACCUAGAUGCUGUAUAAACACACACUGUUCCUGCCCCAAAGAGCUUGCAGAGCUCCCCUCUAUAUGAAAAAUAGCCAUCCUCUUGCUUUUCCUUUUUUAUGCAAUAGCACCGAUGGAUUAACAAUACAGUCCCUGGAUCUGUACAGCUCCACUGGAUCAAAGCAGCACAGCCUUCUGCAUGGAAAAACUGUGCCUCUCUACACUUGAGAGCAUUUUUUAAAAAGUUAACCGAAAAGAAUAAAUAUAGACUCAUUUACCUGAAGUUUCCAAAACCUUCCAUCAUUCUAAAGGAUCAUUAAAGAAGAUGAAUAACUCCACAUGAGUAGGAGGCAAAGUUUUGUUGUGGAUUAUAAACUGGAUAAUGGGACCCUACCAGAUUGUGUCUGUCCCAGCACAUCAGCAGGGGAAUACACUGCUGUAGUCUAAUAUGAAAGGACCUAUGGGAAUUUAUUAUUAAAACUCCCAUUGAGUUGCAAGGGGAGCUGAGCACCUAAUUAAUUUAAGCUCCUUUCAACUCCCAGAUGAAAAUGUCUCGAUUGCCUGAUGCUUCAUUACCAUUCAAGAAUGGUAAAGCCAUGUUUUCCUACCAAGGCGAGAGGAAAUGUUAAUUAAAUACAGCAGUAGACUUAACAGUUCUUUCUGAACGCUCUCUAUGGUGCCUAGACUCUUUAGAGUUAGAUUUUUCCCAUUAUGUCAGCUGUGCGCUGAGACCCCUCCUAUCAUGCUGCCCAAUAGGGUUUCAUUGUUACCUUGUUUGUCUGUCUGUCUGUCUCCUCUUGUCUUAUACUUAGACUGUAACUCCUUUGGGCAGGCAGUGUCUUUUUGCUCUGUAUUUGUACAAUGCAUAGCACAAUGGGAUCCUGAUUAAUGACUGGCUCCUAGGUACUAGGAUAUACUACUAUUAUUGUUAUAAUGUUACAAUAGUGUCUUGAUGGCCCCUUCUGCCCUUAAAGACAAUAAGUUAUCUUCUACUACUAAUAGAGAGUUCUGGUUCUUGUCCCUCUCAAACCUAUUCCUGUAAUAAUAUCUUGUUGCCCGGUUGGAGAUGGCAGCAUCUGUUGUUCUUCAUGUUUCCUUUGUGCCACCGAAGGACCAGAAUGUGGUGAGUAUCCCCAUUGGAGGGGCUUUAUGAAAUAUUAGCCAUUUCUGCCUUGCUGCUGCUCUCUGUUUACCUGCAAAGAACUGAGGCGCUGCUGCUGUUGGCUAGACAAUUGCGGCACAGGACUUCAAAGGUGCUGCAGUUGGGAGUUCCACACAACCCUCGCUGCCUGCAUAGACAAGUGAUGUACAAAGAGGGAAGCUUGGGGUAUGCUGGACACUAGCAGGCAUCUCGCCGUAUGUGGAGUCUAUGCUGACAGGGUUGAAUGACAUCAAAAUACAUGAGCAGUCAGCAUCCCUAUAAAAACUGGAGCUGGAAAGAGCAGCUUAGAUGUGGGCAACAGCUGGAUGGACAGAGGCAUGGUUGUAGGAGCAUGAUUGUUCACUGGGCAAUUACCUGAAGGGAUACAUUGUGUGUAGGGUAGAGACCGGAGUAGCCAGCCGCAGAAGGGACUACUGUGCUCACAGCACAUCUUGGAAGAAGUCAGGUAAUGUCACGCCCUGCUACCUCCCUCUGGGUCUGGUGUGCCUACUGUAUUCUGGGCUCUAGCAUGGCCAGAGGUACAAAGGUUGUGUCUUUGCUACCCCCAAGUCCUGGCCAUGGGUUCAUUGCCUCAUGCCUGGACUUUUGCAAAGAUACUUCUGCCAGGCUUCCCAAAUCCACCCUAUUCCACUACAAUUAUGACUCCCCUGCCAUCCUCUCCCUCGGGACCUAGAUUUUCAAAAACAGGAGGCUCAAGUUAGGAACCUAACUAGAUUUUCCAAGAGGAAGGAGGGUAGAGGCCACGCAUAGUUGGCACCAGUCUCAGCAGUUGUGUGUGGAGAUGCAUGUUGGGGUCUGGGGCAAAAGGCAGCAUCCAGUAAGGUGAGGGGGAGGAGUUAGAACCUUAUAGACAAUUACACUCAUCCAGAAGCCCAAAGUGUCAUACCUGUGCUGCUGUAGUAUAGACAUACCUAAAGGUAUAAAUUGAUGUAGAUCACUGCUCCUUUCCUUCCCACACCGGAGUGCUCACUCAGAUCUAUCUGUGGCACUGAAGGAACCUAAAGUCCAAUGGUGGAGAGCUAACUCUCUGGCGGAAGGAACACUUUGUCUACCUACACUGGGCUCUGCCUUCAUCUACUCACAGGUGAGUGAAACACGACAUAGUGCAGCUCUGCUUCCCAUGUAACGCAUAAGAACAUAGUAUCAGAUGCUGAAGAAUAGUUCUGCCAGGGUGUAUUAAUCAGCAUGUAUUUAUUUCAUCCCAUAAGAUAACUUUUCCUUUAGGAAACAUGGUUGGCUAAGGCCAUCACCCCCUGAAAGUGACAGCAGUGAUGCAUACCCGUUUACAGCUCUACUGCCAUCUGUACGAGUAAGUGCACAUAAUACUACGUACUGCAAUUUCCUCAUGGAGGAACACAGUAAAAUGGUCAUAAAACAGCUCCCCUUCUUGUCUUAAUCCUUACACAUUAGCAGAGCAUUGCUGCCUUGGCAGCAGGGCGGUUGGACCAUUCUCAGCAGCUAAUUAAAAAUGUUUGAUCUGCUCAUCUCUUCACCAUCCCUAUGGGAGGAAUGCAAGGCUCUCUCCCAAAGAGUAACUGGAGGCGAAGAAACAGUUAACAAGGUUCCAAGCAUUGCAGAGGUUCUUCACACGCUGAGUGUGUGCAGCAUUAUACGAUUGAACAUGAGCACAAAGGGUUCUCCUUAGUGAAAGAGUGAUCGUGGGUUCAUCUUUUACCAGCCAUUCCCCAUGCAUAGCUGAGGUACAGCACGGCUGCUAGAUAAAUGAUUUAACCAGAGUUACCAUAUGAUCAACUCCACAAGCCACAUCAACUACCUCGCCUGGGAUUGUCACCUGGAACAGGAAAAAAAGAAAAUUUGCUUUCAGGCUCUUUCUGCCACACAUGUGCAUACACCCAUACCAGCCAGGCUGAGUGGCUUUUAAAGCGCAAGCCUCUAGAACAACUUGGAGAUGGGGUUCAGUCUGGGGAAUUGAGAUUAGAUUAAAGAAACGUCAGCUCCAACCGCAGGCACAGAAACAGCCAACCCUAAGGAAUUCAUCAACGUGCUGUAAAGCACAGACUUGAGUAGUUUUCCAUGGAAGUACAUAAUGCAUUUAUGGAGCGAGCGGAAAGCUCUAAAUCAGACCUGGUUUGUUGGGAAAUGCAGGGGAUUGUAGCCCCAGCCCAUCUGUUCUGAAAGCAGCACUUUGAGUGGAAAGGGCAUAGCCUAGAGCCCAGCAAGAUGAUUUGUUUAUGCAUCACAGAGGUUGGUGUAGCUAAGCACUGAGGACAGACAGAAUAGUUAAAGCCUGGGAGAUGCUUCAUGUGUGGUCUCAGUUCAAGGACAAGGGUGGAUUUUUGAACUGGGAGCACAAGCAGGUUAGUCAUAUUGAGGUCUUUAAGAACAGCUGAACACUAGAGUUUCAAAUGUGCAGUCCUCAAUGAGGAAUGAAAUAGCUGCUAAUGGCUGAUUGCCUUUUCCCCCACCUUGCAUAAUUACAGCAAUAUUUUGCCUUCUAAGGGGGGAUAGUAGCUAACAGAUCCUCUACACUACAUAGGGUGCCCUAGGGGAGCUCAUGCUGCUCCCCCUUUUAGAGGAAGAGGAAGAUGCAGUGCACCCUAUUCCUGAUCAUUUUUAAUGGACACACGACUGCCAUCUACUUUCCUAGCAGCUAUGUCCAGGGAGAAAUGGGAUAGUUAGAAUUUAUGCACUUGGCAUCUGUGCCUUUUAAUUCACUGAAUUAAUUAUAGUAAAGAUUUAAUUACCAUAGUAUAAUUUUGUAGCAAAUCUUAACUAUCAACGUUGUAAAUACUUCUUCCUCACUUCUUUAAACUGCACUUCUGCACAAAAUGGUCCCUGCUUUAAUGUUUUUAAAAAGGAUAAUUUUAGGUGCCAAAAACUAUAUGCAUGUGACACGAAAGUUGAGAAUGCAAAGUCAGGGGUUAGACAGUUGUGCCAUGUGCCUGAGUGAGCUUUGCCAGAAGCCUGCGUUUCAGAGGGUGACAAUCUUGUCGGAAAGGUGUGGACACUUUCAAACUCUAUGCUCCAUGAACAUAGGUAGGGGGAUUUUUUCUUUAAUUUAAAUGAACUUUCAUACCAUGUUUGACAUAAUCUUGGCCAUCUCUGCUGGACAGGGCUUGGGCACUUGCUAUAUAGAACACUUAACUAGAGCCCAAAUCUCUCAGGCCUCCUGCUACAGUACAGACUAAUUAUAAAAUGCCAGAACAACUGGAGACAACAUAUAGCUCUGACCUGACGUCAGGAAAUCUGAGAAGGAAUUGAUAAGAUCCAUCUUGCAUUUGAAGUUUUCAUGUUACUUUCAGUGCCAAAAUCCACGACUAGGCACCGAGUGGGGGAGGCCUCACUACCCAUUGUUACAGUACACUAACUCCUGAGCAUGUUUAAUUCUAGGGCAGGGUUGUGCUUGAAUGCUGUGUACUUACCCUCCAUGGGAAAUACUGGUCUUCCAUUCUUCCAAUCCCCAAGGACCCCCUUAUAUUCUUGCCCCACAUAAACAGCUCUCCUCUGUCUGCAACAAGCAAAAAACCUGGGUCAGAUUGCCUUUUAAAAGGUCUUCACAUACGAAGUAAGUAAUUUUAUUUAUGAAGAAAGGGACUGCAGAUUGAUACUUAUGGAGGUAUUGACUAGAAGGCCAUAACCAGAGAGUUAUAAAUCCAGGAUGAAAAACCUAUAGGUCCUGUAAGUUUAGUAAGAGAACACUUGAUAGAGCAAUAUCAUCUUCACAGAAGAGCUCAGGGAACAGAGGCAGACAAUGGGUUUUUGGUCUGAAUCUUUUCUCCUCCACUCACCCAACAGCUCUAAGUGCAGGAUUUUGUUUAAAGGAACAGCCUGGCCGAGUCCACUAGAGAAUUCUGAAAUUAAUGGAAGCUCCAGGUGCUCAAUUUCAAAACUCAGGUUCAACAUCCUCAGUCUGUGUGCACAGCUCUUAGAGUCAAAGCAGGAGCUGCGAGGACAGAGGGCAGUGAUGUGACCUUCAAGAUGUUUAACUUUAUGCAUCGGAGCAAGAGCCACAGUGAGCCCCGUAAGCAAAGAGAGUGCAAUCCAGCAUAAAGCCACCACUCCAAGGCUGAUAAAUCUGUUCCUUAAGAGUGGUGGCUUCCAAUACGGGCCGAGCAAAACUGCAUUCAGUACAUUUGGAGAGGUCUUAUGUUUCUCAGUCACUGUAGGUGCUCUUGAAAAUGUUACCUGAGACCCAAUUUCAAAAGUUAUUUAUACCAGUGAAAGAACUCUGGGUAAAGAAGGCCUAACUAUUUCAGCAGGGGUGUGAUUUUUUUUUAAACUGAAAUAGUUAGAGGAAGAACCCCCUGUGUGGGCACAGUUCUACUGGUAUAUGGCUAUUCCUGUAUGAGACUGGAAACACCAGUGUAAAGCACCCUACACCACUUUAGUUAAAGUGGCAGCGAGAACUGUACAGCCUGUGCGCAUAGACAAGCACUUAGGAGCCUAAAUCCCAUUUUCAGAAGUGGCUUAGGUGCUUUUGAAAAUGUUAAACAUCUUGGUGCAAUGACAUGCACUCUCCCUUUCUUGGAUCAAUGUGCCCCCAGCAUUAUGGAAAGUCACUUGAAGGAGAUGGUGUAAAUUUUCUCUAAUCCUUCUCAUUUGGCUACAGCUCAACUCCAAAAUUCAGCCUAAUAUCAAGUUAUUUUACCUAUCAUUGACGAAAGCUUUUACUCUUGAGAUAGAGUAGCUACAUCAGCUUCCGUGGGGCUGGGCGUUUUCACUGACCUUUAACAAGUCUCCAUGUUCAGGCUACAGUAUUUUCUUCACAUACAAGCUCGAUUUAUUAUAGUUACAGCUGCACUAACGGUGCUGCUAAGAUUGUCAUGUCAGUAUUUGCACGGUAAUGCUAUGGUUUUUCUGCUUCAGACACUAGGUUAGUUAGUUCAACUUGCAUAUAUUUGCUGUGGUCCGUUCCUUAAGUAAAUCUGGUCUGGCUGCAAUUUAGAAAGCAAAGGGAAGGGGCACAGAUCUGUUUUACUGAACACAGAUUAGAAAUGUAUCGCAGCAGUGUCUAUAGAGGCCAGGCUACCAUUGAAAUGGGCUGACUGAAAACAUGCUCAAACCCAUUGCAUUGUUUCAGCAUGGUAUUUUGGAGGUUCACAUUUCACGUUUAAGAAGCGUGUUUUAGAAACUGAAACAUCUCAGUAAGAUUUUAAAGGGGGGAACAAAUUGAAGAGACAGUUUCACUACUGAUCCAUGGCCUGGAAACUUACUGUUAAGUGCAGCAAACUGGCUGAGUCCGCAGCAAAUGCGAGAAACGCGGGUGUCCGGACUGAAGUCUGACAAGCCAAAGAGGGUGGGUGGGAUCAUUUCUGGAGUUGCUGUUUCCAUCAGGUUUGGUCCUUUCCCAAGAAUUCCAUAUCCCCAGACAAAGACAUUUCCUUCUUCUGCGUUACAAUAAAAACAAAUGCUGUGAGUACGUUCUCUCUUAUGAAAUUAAUACAGCCUCAGAAACCUAAUUAGACCCAAAUGGCUAUUUUCUUUGGGCUUGGCAAGUCAUUCUGACUAGUUAAAAAAAAACACAAUGUGUUUCCAUUUGGCUCCUUCCUGCAUUUGAAUUCUCUCUAACUUUGCCGUCAAAGCCAAUUUGCCUUGGAUCAUGUUUCCCAAAUGUAGUUCUGCCUCCGCAUUAUUAAAACGGAGUGUUCUCAGUUUGUCUCUGAGAUAGAACAGGCCCGCAGUGCCUGAGGUAUAACAAACAGAGACACUUUUAUGUCCCAGCAUUCCUACCCUCUUGGAUUUGUGACUAUGCCCUGCACUAGCCAGCUCUCUUUCUGGUGUGAGACUUCAAAAAGAAUUCUUCAAGUUCAGUACUUGUGAAAGCUGCCAGAUGGACAGUGUGGGAGAAGUAAAUCAUACAGACACAGCAAAGGCAAAAGCAGUGCACGCUCCCUGUGCCAACAUGCCUCAGCUCUGACCUUCAGGAACUUCUUCUAGGGCUAAAUAUUUCAUUCCAAACACCCUAUUCAAGCCCUCUUAAAAUAACAGCCUGUAAAAAGUCUAAAUGUCAAUCAUAUCAGACAUCUGUAAAAGGCGUAGCAAUAGUGUAACCGUCUGUCUCCUCUCCCAUCUUAUUAAAUCCAACAGGAGCCCUGCAACAGCAAAAAUGAACUCACCAUUUACAACAGCAUUGCCUGUCCCUCCACAUGCAGCAUCCUUUAUCUUCCCAAUCUUGAAUGGAUUGUUCAGGUGGUUAUGUAAACUAUGGAUGCUGGACUGAGGUCAUGGUGUAUGUGAUCCCACAGCUGGAAAAUGAACUAUGUUCAGUUGAAUGAGGCCGAAGGAGAAGACAACUGAUUGGGGAAAGUGGCAAAGCUGAAAUAAUCCAUCUUGAACUACAAAACUUUUAAGGGGUGCAUACCUAAAGGAAUCCAGUCAUCCCAGAGCUGAAGAACUAGAUAUGACACGGAAGCUAGCCACUCAACAGGAGUGUUUGCAAACAAUCACCAGAGACCAGAAGGCCAUAGCCUGUAGGUCUUUUGUGACAGAGUUUAUAAGACAUUGGAAAACCUAUAGUUUAGUGGGUGUAAAUGCUGAAUGUUAGAUAGUUGAGCAUUUCCUUUUCCAGAAUAGUCAUUACCCAGACUUGGCUCGAAGGCCACAUCUUUGGUGACCAAGCAAUCUAACUCCAUUUCCAAUCAUUCUCAGUAUCCUCUCCAGGAAGCCUCAUAUUGGAACAGUCUGACCCCACACUAUUUAGCCUAUUAAUUAUCUCGAACAUCCUCAAACUAUAUAAUUAUCCCUAAACUGGGGACACAUCAGGAUUAGCAAAGGGAACUAAACUAAAAGUUUGCUAAAAUGGCAGUAAUUUGAUGGUCUGCUCUUAAUUUUCCUUCAAAUAUAGCUGAAUAUUAAUGAACUAUUAGAAUACGACCUCUCCACGGAGCUGAACGAGGCAAACAUCUGCUUAAUUACCACAGUGCCACAUUCGAGGCUGAGUCAGCAUUUCAAAUCUAUUUACCAUAAACAUUUGCUCAAUGACCCUGUGGGAUUUUUGUAGAAGUCUGUGUUCGAGCCAGUAGGGAGGAAUGGAUGCUAUGCAUAUGCUUCUGGUACUCUCAAACGUACAGCACACACCUUGGAUCCCAUAAAUUGGAGUGAGGUCAAAUUUGUCAGAUUACUUUUUGCUCAUGUAUUUGAAAGCAGAUUACAAAUAAAUUUGAAAUGGAUGAAUUUAAAAAAAAAA